rnacentral:rRNA from 1 species
GUACACGCUGUGACUAGCAUAUCAAUAAGCGGAGGAAAAGAAACUAACAAGGAUUCCCCUAGUAACGGCGAGUGAAGCGGGAAGAGCUCAAAUUUGAAAUCUUAAAGGGUUUCCCUUUACGAAUUGUAGUUUAAAGAAGUGUUUUCUGUUGAGGUUUUGGUAAAAGUUCUUUGGAAUAGGACAUCAUAGAGGGUGAGAAUCCCGUAUUUGACCUUUACUUUCAACUUUGUGAUACACUUUCAAGAGUCGGAUUGUUUGGGAAUGCAGUCCAAAAUGGGUGGUAAAUUUCAUCUAAAGCUAAAUAUUGGCGAGAGACCGAUAGCGAACAAGUCACCGUGAGGGAAAGAUGAAAAGAACUUUGAAAAGAGAGUUAAACAGUACGUGAAAUUGUCAAAAGGGAAGCGUUUGACACCAGUGUUGUUUUUCUGAAAAUCAAUUAUAAGAACUGUUUAUGCUAGAGCUGUUAUGACUUUAUCAGGCUACUGUUCUAGUUUCACGAACUUUCUGUAAUGCACUUUUCAGGUUAACAAGUCAACAUCAAUUUCUUUUGCUGUAAAAGAGCUUUAGGAAGGUGGCUUGAUAUUCGGCUGAAAGUGUUUAUAGCCUCUUGCCUAUGCAAGUCGGAGAGAUUGAGGUCUGCAGCGUAGAUCCUUCGGGGCUAGAUACACUUUGUGCUAAGUUAUAGCAUUUUAUAGACAACCUGUUGACUAUGAUUUGUCUUGUAGCUUACUCGCUUAUGUUAUUUUACCUACGCUUAGGAUGUUGAGUCGUAGAGCACGCAG